UGUGAGGCAUGCUGGAGGUAUCAGAAGUGCGAAUGCUGACAUAAGUAACGAUAAAGCGGGUGAAAAGCCCGCUCGCCGGAAGACCAAGGGUUCCUGUCCAACGUUAAUCGGGGCAGGGUGAGUCGACCCCUAAGGCGAGGCCGAAAGGCGUAGUCGAUGGGAAACAGGUUAAUAUUCCUGUACUUGGUGUUACUGCGAAGGGGGGACGGAGAAGGCUAUGUUGGCCGGGCGACGGUUGUCCCGGUUUAAGCGUGUAGGCUGGUUUUCCAGGCAAAUCCGGAAAAUCAAGGCUGAGGCGUGAUGACGAGGCACUACGGUGCUGAAGCGACAAAUGCCCUGCUUCCAGGAAAAGCCUCUAAGCAUCAGGUAACAUCAAAUCGUACCCCAAACCGACACAGGUGGUCAGGUAGAGAAUACCAAGGCGCUUGAGAGAACUCGGGUGAAGGAACUAGGCAAAAUGGUGCCGUAACUUCGGGAGAAGGCACGCUGAU
rnacentral:rRNA from 1 species